GUUCCUGGAAUUUAAUCUCUGUCUCCAUCAACUGCUGUCUUGUGGGCCCGUCAAACUAUGGGUUGCCCAGCAUCUGUAGAUUGCUCUUGGAAACUUCCAGCGUCCGCGCCCUGCCAGGGAGCAGCAGGAGAGACAACAAGAGGACCUUUUGUCUGGUACCUUCACCACGAAUCACCCCCGGGAUUCUCCUUCCACUCUCAUCACCACCACUCUGCUCAGUCACUUCUCACGGGAUCAGCAGGUUUCCUAGAGCUUCAAGGUGGUCCCUCUGAAUUCAGCUUUCCCAUCUUGGCCCCUCUACUCUAA
rnacentral:lncRNA from 1 species